UGGGGAAUAUUGCACAAUGGGGGGAAACCCUGAUGCAGCGACGCCGCGUGAGUGAGGAAGUAUUUCGGUAUGUAAAGCUCUAUCAGCAGGGAAGAAAUGACGGUACCUGACUAAGAAGCCCCGGCUAACUACGUGCC
rnacentral:rRNA from 1 species